rnacentral:rRNA from 1 species
UACGGGGGGGGCAAGCGUUGUUCGGAAUUACUGGGCGUAAAGGGCUCGUAGGUGGCCAACUAAGUCAGACGUGAAAUCCCUCAGCUUAACUGGGGAACUGCGUCUGAUACUGGAUGGCUUGAGUUUGGGAGAGGGAUGCGGAAUUCCAGGUGUAGCGGUGAAAUGCGUAGAUAUCUGGAGGAACACCGGUGGCGAAGGCGGCAUCCUGGACCAACACUGACACUGAGGAGCGAAAGCCAGGGGGGCAAACGGG